AGCAGCCGCGGUAAUUCCAGCUCCAAUAGCGUAUAUUAAAGUUGUUGCAGUUAAAAAGCUCGUAGUUGAAUUUCGGGAUCAGUACGCUGGUCGUGCCUUUGGUAUGUACUGGUGUCACUGAUUCCUCCCUUCUGAAGAACCGUUACGCCAUUUAUUUGGUGUGGCGGGGAAUCAGGACUGUUACUUUGAAAAAAUUAGAGUGUUUAAAGCAGGCUCGCGCUUGAAUACAUUAGCAUGGAAUAAUGAAAUAGGACGUUUGAUCUUAUUUUGUUGGUUUCUAGGAUCGACGUAAUGAUUAAUAGGGAUAGUUGGGGGCAUUAGUAUUCAAUUGUCAGAGGUGAAAUUCUUGGAUUUAUUGAAGACUAACUACUGCGAAAGCAUUUGCCAAGGAUGUUUUCAUUAAUCAAGAACGAAAGUUAGGGGAUCGAAGACGAUCAGAUACCGUCGUAG
rnacentral:rRNA from 1 species